rnacentral:rRNA from 1 species
CCCGCACAAGCGGUGGAGCAUGUGGUUUAAUUCGAUGAUACGCGAGGAACCUUACCUGGGCUCAAACGCAUGAUGACGUAUGGUGAAAGCUAUAUUUCUUUCGGACAUUAUGCGAGGUGCUGCAUGGUUGUCGUCAGCUCGUGCCGUGAGGUGUCGGGUUAAGUCCCAUAACGAGCGCAACCCCUAUCAUUAGUUGCCAUCAGGUCAAGCUGGGGACUCUAAUGAAACUGCCUACGCAAGUAGUGAGGAAGGCGGGGAUGACGUCAAAUCAGCACGGCCCUUACGUCCAGGGCUACACACGUGCUACAAUGGCCAGUACAAAGGGCAGCUACCUGGUGACAGGAUGCUAAUCUCAAAAGCUGGUCCCAGUUCGGAUCGAAGUCUGCAACCCGACUUCGUGAAGCUGGAAUCGCUAGUAAUCGCGCAUCAGCCAUGGCGCGGUGAAUACGUUCCCGGGCCUU